UUAUAAAUAUUUUCAAACAAAGAUACAAAACGAGCUUUAAAUUAAAAGUGAAUGCUUUCCAUGGAUUUGUUAAAUUGAAUAAUUGACAUUGUAAUAACAAAUUAGUUAAUUAAAAUGUAAAAAUACUAUUAUGAUUAAUUUUCCAUAUUAACAAGUGAAAAAAUAAAAGACAAAGUGAAGAUUGUUUCAGAAACCGACUUUUAACCGACCACCUAUCAGCCCUGGAAAAUCAGCCGCGACAGCCGUGUGACGUCCAAUCGCGCAUGUGACAAGCAGUUAAUGGGUUAUAUUUUCGCCAAUAACGAAUGUGUUUAAUUGGAUACAAGCCAUAUAAUGUCCUUAAAAUCACGAGGUACAAAGUCAAAAAUCAAAAUUUUUUUGGACACAGAGAGUCUGAGGAAUAUAACGUCAGAAAAUAAUAAUUUGAUGACUUAUACUAUAUUGACGUUCUUAAUAGUACUCGUAAUAUAUUUAGCUACCAAAGAUUGGGAAGGAUUUACGUCUCCGGAAGAAAUAGAUCUGGGUUCUGUGAGAAUAAUGCGACGUUCAACAUCUCGCAUGGUACAUCGUAGAAAAUCGAACCCACGAACUACAUAAAACUAACACUUUAGACUUUUUAUAAUUUAACAUGACAAUUUCAUUUCUAUAUGAUUUUAAAUGCUAAAGCGUGUUAAAAUUUUGCAAUAAACGUAUUUAAACAGCUAUGUUUGUUCUUUAGAUUCGCACUACCGAAAAAAACUU